rnacentral:lncRNA from 1 species
AAAAAUGCAGUGAGAUAGUGAAAAUGUAGGAUUGGAAAAUUGACGGGUUUUUUAAAUCUAUGACCAUAAAUUUAGAGCUGAAAAAGAUAUUAAAGGCCAUCUAACUCAACUUCCUCAUUUUACCAAUUAGGAAUUCGAGGCCCAGAAAAGGGAGAUGGUUUCUUGAAGGCCAUCUUCACCAGUUCUAAUGGUACCAGGGCAUCUGCUAGGGCAAUUCAUUACACAGAGGGGGUCAAAGGACUGCAAGCAAAUGACACGAUCACCACCAGUCGUGAUUCAGAGAGAUAAUAAUGGAGGAGAGAAGAGCCCGGCAUGCUGUGGUCCAUGGAAUCACAAAGAGCUGGACAUGAUUGAACAACAAAACAACAACAAAAAUCCCCAGAGCCUGGUACAGAGCUUGGUACAUAGUAGGCACUUAUUACAUGCUUAUUGAUUGACUGAUUCACAGGGCCAACAGAGAUCUGAUUAAACAUUUUAAUCAAUGACUUAGAUAAAAAGCAUAAAUGUCCUGCUUAUCAAAUUCGUGUAUAUUGUGGUGUGGAUCUGUGGUCUGAUUGAGGAAGGGAACUCCCAGUGUGGAAACCCCCUCUAAUAAUCCAUAUUGGCAGCCAUUCUGUAAGUUGCAAUGUUAGAGAGUUACCUAGGGCACUGAGAGGUUAAAUAGCAUUACCAUGAGAAUGCUAUUUAACCUCUCAGUGUGUCUCAGAAGUAGAGUUUGAAACCAGGUCUCUCUGAGAGGUAUCUGGCUAAUUAGCUAUGCAAUCUGUUGACGCUCCAUGUUGACAAUCCAUGUCACUCUAACACACAAUUUUAAUGUAUACUGUUAAAAAAAUAAAAUAAAAAAUUAGCA